GCGCCCGUAGCUCAGCUGGAUAGAGCAACGGUUUCCUAAACCGUAGGUCGUAGGUUCGAAUCCUAUCGGGCGCG
rnacentral:tRNA from 3 species